UCUUCCCUCUGGCGGCGUGCCUAAUACAUGCAAGUCGAGCGAACAGACGAGGAGCUUGCUCCUCUGACGUUAGCGGCGGACGGGUGAGUAACACGUGGAUAACCUACCUAUAAGACUGGGAUAACUUCGGGAAACCGGAGCUAAUACCGGAUAAUAUAUUGAACCGCAUGGUUCAAUAGUGAAAAACGGUUUUGCUGUCACUUAUAGAUGGAUCCGCGCCGCAUUAGCUAGUUGGUAAGGUAACGGCUUACCAAGGCAACGAUGCGUAGCCGACCUGCGAGGGUGAUCGGCCACACUGGAACUGAGACACGGUCCAGACUCCUACGGGAGGCAGCAGUAGGGAAUCUGCCGCAAUGGGCGAAAGCCUGACGGAGCAACGCCGCGUGAGUGAUGAAGGUCGUCGGAGCGUAAAACUCUGUUAUUAGGGAAGAACAAAUGUGUAAGUAACUAUACACGUCUUGACGGUACCUAAUCAGAAAGCCACGGCUAAGUAGGUG
rnacentral:rRNA from 1 species